rnacentral:rRNA from 1 species
GACGAACGCUGGCGGCGUGCUUAACACAUGCAAGUCGAACGGAAAGGCCCUGCUUUUGUGGGGUGCUCGAGUGGCGAACGGGUGAGGAACACGUGAGUAACCUGCCCUUGACUUUGGUAUAACUUCAGGAAACUGGGGCUAAUACCGGAUAGGAGCUCCUGCUGCAUGGUGGGGGUUGGAAAGGUUCGGCGGUUGGGGAUGGACUCGCGGCUUAUCAGCUUGUUGGUGGGGUAGUGGCUUACCAAGGCUUUGACGGGUAGCCGGCCUGAGCGGGUGACCGGCCACAUUGGGACUGAGAUACGGCCCAGACUCCUACGGGAGGCAGCAGUGGGGAAUAUUGCACAAUGGGCGGAAGCCUGAUGCAGCAACGCCGCGUGCGGGAUGACGGCCUUCGGGUUGUAAACCGCUUUCGCCUGUGACGAAGCGUGAGUGACGGUAAUGGGUAAAGAAGCACCGGCUAACUACGUG